UGGUUUCCAUUAAUCAAGAACGAAAGUUAGAGGUUCGAAGGCGAUCAGAUACCGCCCUAGUUCUAACCAUAAACGAUGCCAGCCAGCGAUCCGGCUGUGUUCCUCAAAUGACACGCCGGGCAGCUUCCGGGAAACCAAAGCUUUUGGGUUCCGGGGGAAGUAUGGUUGCAAAGCUGAAACUUAAAGGAAUUGACGGAAGGGCACCACCAGGCAUGGAGCCUGCGGCUUAAUUUGACUCAACACGGGAAAACUUACCCGGCCCGGACACAGGAAGGAUUGACAGAUUAAGAGCUCUUUCUUGAUUCUGUGGGUGGUGGUGCAUGGCCGUUCUUAGUUGGUGGAGCGAUUUGUCUGGUUAAUUCCGAUAACGAACGAGACUCUAGCCUACUAAAUAGACGUUCCGAUCCUUCGAGUCGGACGUUCUUCUUAGAGGGACAAGCGGCUUUUAGCCGCACGAGACAGAGCAAUAACAGGUCUGUGAUGCCCUUAGAUGUCCGGGGCCGCACGCGCGCUACAUUGAAGGAAUCAGCGUGUGCUUUCCCUGUCCGACAGGACUGGGUAACCCGUUGAACCUCCUUCGUGCUGGGGAUAGGGGCUUGUAAUUGUUCCCCUUGAACGAGGAAUGCCCAGUAAGCACGAGUCAUAAGCUCGUGUUGAUUAAGUCCCUGCCCUUUGUACACACCGCCCGUCGCUACUACCGAUUGAAUGUUUUAGUGAGGUCUUCGGACUGGCGCCCGGAUUGGCCUCCGGGUCGAGCCGGCGUGCCGGAAAGAUGACCAAACUUGAACAUUUAGAGGAAGUAAAAGUCGUAACAAGGUUUCC
rnacentral:rRNA from 1 species